rnacentral:rRNA from 1 species
UACAGAGGUCUCAAGCGUUGUUCGGAUUCAUUGGGCGUAAAGGGUGUGUAGGUGGCGCCGUAAGUCGGGUGUGAAAUUUCGGAGCUUAACUCCGAAACUGCAUUCGAUACUGCGGUGCUUGAGGACUGGAGAGGAGACUGGAAUUCAUGGUGUAGCAGUGAAAUGCGUAGAGAUCAUAGGAAGACCAGUGGCGAAGGCGGGGUCUCUGGACAGUUCCUGACACUGAGACACGAAGGCCAGGGGAGCAAACGGG